CAGACGACACACACUGGCUGCUGAUGGUCCAGACAGAAGAGUUUGAGUUUCUCAGAGUGCAGACUGCAGAGAGUCUCUGAAGCUCUCUCCAACAGUCUUUACAGAAGCUGUGGCUACAUGACAGAAGAACAGGAUCUCUGAAGACCUCCCGACAGACCGGACAGCAGAGAUCCUCCUCUGAUCUGGAAGCCAUUGAGUCUGUGAGUGAAGCUGAAAACAGCAGACAGGAAGUACAGUCAGUCCUGGCUCCCCUCCCUCCUCUACGACCUUCACUGAAACUUCCUUUGAGUCGUGUUUUUGCUCAAACUCACAUUCAGUGUGUGGAGCGUCAGCAGCUUGAAGCAGCAGUGUUGGAGUUUUCCACUUUUCUCUCCUGUAGCUGGACUCACUCAGAGGAAGCUGCUAGUUUGGUCUGAACUCAGUCAGGUCGGCUGGGCGUCUCUCUUUACUGAUGACGAAGACCGGACAAUUUCCUGGUUUGUUGCGUUUUAAACACGUGGGGGGGCGGAGCUUCAUUCAACGUCCUCUUAUAAAUGUAAGAGCUCGCCCCGCCCGCAGACUGUGGACCAAUAGGAGAGCUGGCCAGCUGUAGACUACCAAUCGCCUGUCGACGGAAGUUGCGUCACCAGAAAACAACGGCACCAUCGCUCAGUGUUGCCAACUCCUCAUGGCGACACCAGAAAUACGAGUUGUUAAUCCAGAUGCCCGUGCACACCGUCACUCGGCCCUACUUAAGACAACCAAAGAGGCUCGUUAGUACCGGGUGAGAAGUUUGGUCUUCCCCAAACCUCCACUGGAGCUGCUCAGCCAAAUCACUGCAUUGACUCACGCAGAGAAGCUUCUCCGAGCAGAGGGUAUCCACGUCACGUCAGCAGUGUCUGGGAGAGCUGGUGGUGCCAUUAGGACAAUAUGAAAAGGCACCGCUUCGAUGGCUCGUUACAAACGAUGUGGGAUAAAUGAAGUAAUGUACUAAAGGCCCAACACUCCUCGUCUGCAAGUUAACCUCUGGAGUGAAGUCUGACAAGUCUUUUUGUGGCACUCUGCUGGAGUGUGAAAGUGCUCCUUGAAGUAUCCUCAAGCUGAUAAGUGGACAGGUAAAAGAGCAUGUGCGGAGGGUCACACUGACACCUCGGGAAACAUUUUGGAUCAUCCAUUUGGUUAUUGAGGAGCUGAAAGUUCCAGCUGGGCUGGAUGAGGGUGGAGUGAGUCUCUUCAAAACACCUGGGCUCCCUGUUGAGAUGUGGGCAGCACAGCAGUGACACCUGGAGUGCAUUCAGGACCCAGCAGACACAAACAUGUACAGGGUGGCUACCACAAGAAAAAACAACGUGGAUGUUCCCGAUUAAAAAUGUCUGCGUGGAAGCAACAGCCUGGAAGGUUUUCACGAAUUACUUCCUAACAUGAUUCCAGGUAUACGGCUGUAAUCUGUAUACUUGUGACAGAAGUGGCAGAGGAGGAAAAGUGGGUUCGUGGCUUGGCUGGAGUUCAGCAAUUUAAUCACAGCUCAGUGAGGGACAUCAAUGAGUGGCAUUGCGAGGUGGAACUCUGACAGGAGCUCAGAUGCUGUAUUUGGUGGUAAAUGAUUUACUCUGCAGCUCUGAUCAGUCGCCUCAACACUCGCUGUCAGCAGCUGUUUGGAGAACCUGUAGAAGUAAACAUCUGUGGCCCAGCUGAUCUCACAUUCACUGAAUUAUUCAGACUGGAGUACUUGUUCAGCCAGAGCAGAGGAGACUCUGUAAUUUUCUCUCUGUAGGACAUCGUCAGUGAUGGACCUGGUCCUGGGGAGGAGGUGGUUUAGCCUGAGCAACCCGAGCCAGAUGAUCCCGAUGAAACAUUGCAGAGUGACGAGGAGGCACGCGACACUGCUGGAUGCUGUCCUUCCCCACAUUACUCUCACCAUUGAUAACCUCCACUGUGAGCGAAUCCAGCAUCGUGUUGUGGUGGAAGAUGCGCUUCUUUGUAAAAUAAACAUCAAGACUGUGCAGGACUUCAACCAUCAGCAAGAAACUAUCCUCAAUCUGCAUGCAACAAAACAUACAUAGGAUUGAGUGCAUGAAUAAGUUCCUGAAUCCUUUAUCAUCUACAGCUAAAAAUGGUUGGAAAUCAAGUGCAAUCAUUUUGGUCGGGUCUUUAUCAAUUAAGUCCUGUCUUGCUGGGGUCACAGACUUCUGCAGAAACUUUCUCAUAGGGCUCUGGGUUGGUUUAGGUGGUUGUGGUGGUAUACUGCAUGAUGCUGUAGAUACUGCAGCAGCUACAGUUGCAAUAGACACACUGGCGCCUUCAUUAAUAUCACACUCAUGUCACUGUGUUUUAUCCUCCUAGUGCACUGAUGGGUGGACUGUUCUCAGGUCUCUGUGCAGGUUGUUUGAGUUCUAUGUGAUGUCCUUUUCUUGCACACUCUACACUCUGCCGUUGUAUUGUCAAUAAAAUUGAAGUGGUUUCAGA